rnacentral:tRNA from 1 species
CGAGGGGUAGCUCAUUAUAGGAAGAGCACCUUUGCGUUGCAAAGGAGGUUGGAGGUUCAAAUCCUUCCCUCUCGACCA